GACGAACGCUGGCGGCGUGCUUAACACAUGCAAGUCGAACGGAAAGGUCCUGCUUUUGUGGGGUGCUCGAGUGGCGAACGGGUGAGUAACACGUGAGUAACCUGUCCUUGACUUUGGGAUAACUUCAGGAAACUGGGGCUAAUACCGGAUAGGAGCUCCCGCCGCGCGCUGGGGGUUGGAAAGUUUCGGCGGUUGGGGAUGGACUCGCGGCUUAUCAGCUUGUUGGUGGGGUGGUGGCUUACCAAGGCUUUGACGGGGAGCCGGCCUGAGAGGGUGACCGGCCACAUUGGGACUGAGAUACGGCCCAGACUCCUACGGGAGGCAGCAGUGGGGAAUAUUGCACAAUGGGCGGAAGCCUGAUGCAGCAACGCCGCGUGCGGGAUGACGGCCUUCGGGUUGUAAACCGCUUUCGCCUGUGACGAAGCGUGAGUGACGGUAAUGGGUAAAGAAGCACCGGCUAACUACGUG
rnacentral:rRNA from 1 species